rnacentral:rRNA from 1 species
GACGAACGCUGGCGGCGUGCUUAAUACAUGCAAGUCGAGCGGUGAACCCGACUGAAAGCCUUCGGGCUUGACGUUGGGGGAUCAGCGGCGGAUGGGUGAGUAACGCGUGGGUACCUGCCCUAAAGUCUGGGAUAACAACUCGAAAGGGUUGCUAAUACCGGAUGUGACCGAGAGGUUAAAGGCAGAGAUGUCGCUUUAGGAUGGGCCCGCGUCCCAUUAGCUAGUUGGUGAGGUAAGGGCUCACCAAGGCUGCGAUGGGUAGCCGGCCUGAGAGGGUGGACGGCCACACUGGGACUGAGACACGGCCCAGACUCCUACGGGAGGCAGCAGUAGGGAAUUUUCCGCAAUGGACGGAAGUCUGACGGAGCGACGCCGCGUGAAGGAAGAAGGUCUUCGGAUUGUAAACUUCUUUGGUGAAGAAAAGGACGGUAGCCAAGGAGGAAGCCCCGGCUAACUACGUG